UAGGGAAUCUUCGGCAAUGGACGGAAGUCUGACCGAGCAACGCCGCGUGAGUGAAGAAGGUUUUCGGAUCGUAAAGCUCUGUUGUAAGAGAAGAACGAGUGUGAGAGUGGAAAGCUCACACUGUGACGGUAUCUUACCAGAAAGGGACGGCUAACUACGUGCCAGCAGCCGCGGUAAUACGUAGGUCCCGAGCGUUGUCCGGAUUUAUUGGGCGUAAAGCGAGCGCAGGCGGUUAGAUAAGUCUGAAGUUAAAGGCUGUGGCUUAACCAUAGUACGCUUUGGAAACUGUUUAACUUGAGUGCAAGAGGGGAGAGUGGAAUUCCAUGUGUAGCGGUGAAAUGCGUAGAUAUAUGGAGGAACACCGGUGGCGAAAGCGGCUCUCUGGCUUGUAACUGACGCUGAGGCUCGAAAGCGUGGGGAGCAAACAGGAUUAGAUACCCUGGUAGUCCACGCCGUAAACGAUGAGUGCUAGGUGUUAGACCCUUUCCGGGGUUUAGUGCCGUAGCUAACGCAUUAAGCACUCCGCCUGGGGAGUACGACCGCAAGGUUG
rnacentral:rRNA from 1 species